rnacentral:lncRNA from 1 species
UUCAACAGGUGCAAGUUAUUUUAUCUCCAGUCUCGGUUAGCAAACUAGAGGGGUUAUAACUCAACAGAGCCUUCCGAUUCCAACUUAGAUUACCCUGAAAAGAAUGUUGAUUCAUCGAAAAGAUUACCAUCUGAUUCCUAUUAUGAUAUGUGGGCAACAAACUAGACAAACAAUGCAUGGGUACUUUGGUAAACCCUGCAACUGUAAGUACUAAGUACCCAUAAAGGAUACCACUAGAAAGUUGUAAAUAAUCCACGUAAUUACCAAUCAGUCAAUCACUAGAAUUUGUGCACUUAAAACUUUGAACCCAAGAACACAUUUACUCUCAUGAUGGAAGAAAGUAAACUAGAAAAUACCACUGAUAAUUAUUUGUGAGUGGGUAACUCCAUGAGCUGAUCCGUAGAUGCUUUGAACUCAUAUUUUCUGUCAUUUUGGUUGCACCACCUGGAGUGUAGAAAAUAUGAAAUAUGAUUUUCCGCCCGGUUGAUUUAUGAAAUCGAUCAAGUGGAGUGUCAAGUGUGUUCAGUAGCUGCAAGGGUGCUUUAGUGAACCAUGCAACUGCAAGUACCCAUAAAGGAUACCACUAGGAAUUGUGAAUUGCUAUCCCACUUAAUUACCCAAUCAGUCAUUCACUAGUACGGAAUAAAGUCAUAUAACCGACACAGAUAUGUACGAAGUGCAGAAAGGCGGUCCAUUUACUUUCUAGCAACAUGUUCUAACUUCCUACUCCCUCUAGAAUUUAGGCUUAUUUUGACUACUCGAGCUCAUGCUUUGACGAAGAAUUAAUCCAGCAAUACUUAUUGUCUUUUACAUAUAAUUGAUACUACUUGACUCAUCUUCAAAAUCACUUUUCUUCGGAUUGUAAAUUUGUAACUAUGAACAGUCAAAUUUGUAACUGAGAAUUAAUCCAGCUCAUGUUAUAGAAGCAAUUUACAGUCCAAGCUCAUAUUUAAACAGUCAAAUUUUGCCACACAUUUUGCAAUGGACGGAGUAUCUGUUUCUUUGGGUACAUAUUGGUACUAAAAUACAUAAGCUGGUGGAAAUUUCAAGUAAAUAUGGAAGAGAUGACUUUCUCUAUGAUAACAACUGGCCAGUAUAACCAGAGAGUAUUACUGAAGAUGGAUAACUGGAACUGGAUGUGGUAAUAUGCUGACAUGUUGUAUUAGUAGUAGGUAGUAAGUGACAAUGUUCCAAAUAACGGCCAGUUAACUGCUAUUCGGACCCCUCCAUAUACGAGAAAGUGCUAUCAUGUCCAUUAACUGGGAGGGCCAGUUAAUCGUUGACAAACCGAUUUAUCGGCUGUCAGCCGAAUUAUCGGCUGGGCCUAUUAACUGGGAAGCAGUUUUUGACCCCAAACUACUCUCCUAUGCCAAGAACAGAAGCACUACUCUCCUAUGUUGUGUUGUUCUGUAAAUGCUGAUGUACUACUGCUGCUGUUGCUGUGCUGCCCUCUUAUGUGAUGUACAAGUAGUGCUGUUGCUGUGCUGCUCUCCUUUGAUGUUAGAUAGUGAUGUACAAUUACUGCUGAUGUGUUGUUGCUGCUGCUGCUCUUCUAUGUAGAUCUAGACAUCAUCAGAACAUCAAGGUAAUACUCUUGUUGCUAUGUAGCCUAGGAUUGCAUAUUUAGACAUUCAGUACAAUGCAUGUUGCUAUAUAGCGUAGGAUAUAUAGAUAUGGCCCCAGUUAACCUACCGAUAUAUUCAGUUAAAUGGCCGAUUCGCCGAUUAAUCCCUUAUCAGGCCCCGACCGAUAUGAUACCAGUUACCGAUAUAACAUUAGUAAGUGAAAAUAGUCUAGAUUAGAAAGUAAUACCAGAAUUUUAAGUGAGUCUCAAGGGAAAUUUAAGUAAAUCUCAAGGGCAACAUGUGAUGCUGAUUGCUGAACAAAGCUGUCCCUGAAGAUUAUUGCUUUGUAGGUUACAUUUUCAUCUAUCUCUUUUUCUAACAGAAAUCCUGUCUCUUUUUCUAUAAUCAUUAAAAAGAGACGUUAUUAGAUAGAAAAUAAAUCAUUCACUAAAACAGAGCAUAAUCUCAUGGUUAUCCCAAAUUCUCACAAGACAAUAUUUCAAGAGCAUGAUGAUUUAUAAAUCAGCUUGUUGCCAUUUGUUAGAGUUAUAAUACAAGUCAUGUACCCUUUUAUAUUUAUCCCAAUAUAUAAGGGGUUUUCCUGCAUAUAGUCCAUCACCUGUACAUGUAUAUAUAUCGGCCUAUGGCCUCAUGGUAAUACAAGUUGCUUAUUCCUAACAUGGUAUUAGAGCCUAAGUUUUCUUAGCACGCGCAACUCGUGCUCCUCCCGAUCUAAUCCCUCGCACAGCCGCCGCCGAUCCCGUCUCUUCUUCCCUGCCGCCUCGAUCUCUCCCCGCUGCAGCCUCGAUCUGGUCCCCGCUCUAAAAACUCGCGGCGGUUCCCGGUCUAGGCGGCUCCAGACUCGCGCGGCAGGCCCUAGGCGGCAGGCCCAGGCGGCUCCAGUCCCGCGGCAGGCUCCAGCGGCUCUCUCGCGCGGGACUCCUUCCCGCUCCGCGGCAGGCUCCAGCGGCUCACUCGCGCGGGACCCCUUCCUGCCCCGCUCCACCAACCGCCUCCAGACCUGCUGCUGGAUCCCAUCGCUCCAGACCUGCUGCUGGAUCCUAGCCGGUUCGGUGAAGUCACCGCUCCCACCUGAGUACUGCUGGAUCGGUUUUCUGGCGGAUCCUAUCCCCUGCUGCUGAUUUCGCCAGAUCCAGCGCUGCUCUUGUUCUCCCGUUGCAGCGCCCGCCAGCCGCCUCGAUUGGAUCCGGCUCUCUGGUUCCAAAAAAAAAAAUUGUCUGCUUCAUCCGGCUAUGUUGCUGUUCCUCGUUGUCCGGUGAUCUUUGAUGGCACUAAUUACACCGAGUUCAUUGGCUUCAUGCGCAUUCACAUGCGUGACAUCCGCCUAUGGGGUUUUCUUUCUGGCGAGGUCUGUUGUCCGCCAUGCCCGGUUCCUCCCGUGGCUCCCACUCCGCCGACCCCACCGGCUCUUCCUGCGGAUGCUUCUCAGGCCGCAACGGAUGCGACUAAGCUUGUUGAUGAGGCCGCUGUGAGUGCUUAUGAUGAGAAGGUCUUGCCUUAUGAGGAGGCUUUUCAGCUGUAUCAUGGUGCUCUGUCCGUUUAUACCCAGUGGCUUGAUGAUGAUGCUCGUGCUGCCGCUGUUCUCACUGCUAGUGUCCUGCCUCAGUUUGCUUCUGAGUUUCUGGGCCUUCCUACUGUAUUUGAGAUGUGGACCCGCCUUCGUCAGCGCUAUGAGCCCUCUGGUGAUGCCUUAUACCUCUCUGUGGUCCGUCAGGAGCAUGCUCUUCAGCAGGGUGACUCUACUGUUGAUGACUUCUAUGCACAGAGUUCUGCUAUCUGGCGCCAGCUUGAUUCUCUCCGCAGUGCUGGUUGUCGUACUUGCCCCUGUUGCCAGGCUGUCCAGGCCGACUUGGAGUUUCAUCGCGUCUACGAGUUCCUGUCUCGGCUCCGUAAGGAGUUUGAGCCCCGGCGUUCUCAGUUGUUUGCUCGUGGCCGUAUUUCUCUCAUGGAGGCGCUUUCUGAGAUUCGUGCUGAGGAGACUCGCUUACGCGGUGCUGGUUUGCUGGAGGUUCCCUCGGUGCUCGCUGCUCGGACUUUUUCUACGCCACCUGCUGCACCGACCCCUUCUCGCUUGAGUGCUCCGCCGCUCUUGCCCACUCCUUCUGGCGGCUCAGGUCGCCCCCGUCCACAUUGUAACUACUGCAACAAUGAUGGUCAUAUUGAGCCGAACUGCUACACGAAGAAGAAACACUUGCGCAAGGCGCGGUCACCAUCUACAGCGACUUCGUCAUCUACCUCGACAGCUUCAGCCAUCGCUUUGACUGAGCAGGACAUUCUGAGACUUAAGCGUCUGCUCGCUGCUUCAGGUUCUUCCUCAACGGGUACUGCUGGUUCUGUGACUGAGGCUUCCCGCACUGAGCAACCACCUUCUACACAGUCAGGUACAUCCCCAUGGGUUCUGGACUCUGGAGCUUCCUUUCAUAUGACUUCUAAUUCUUCCACUCUGUCCUCUCUUCGUUCGCUUGAUUCUCCUGUUCAUGUCCUCACUGCUGAUGGUACUCCCCUUCCUGUCGUUAGUAGAGGCACUCUUACCACUCCUCCUUAUUCUGUUCCUGAUGUUGCUCAUGUUCCUCGACUUACCAUGAAUUUGUUUUCCGCUGGUCAACUUGCUGAUUCUGGUUGUCGUGUCAUUCUUGAUCUUGACUCUUGUUCUGUUCAGGACCGUCGCACGCACACUCUGGUUGGGGUUGGUCCUCGCCGCCGUGAUUCUGAGGGUCUUUGGGAGUUGGACUGGCUUCAUGUUCCUUCCGCUGCCCAUUCUCUCGCCAGUUCUUCCGCUUUGGUCGCCUCGGCUACUGGUUCUUUCCAGCAGUAGCAUCAUCGACUUGGUCAUCUGUGUGGUUCUCGUUUGUCGUCGUUAGUUCGUCGAGGUCUUCUGGGGUCUGUCUCAGGAGAUGCCUCCUUAGAGUGUUAGGGUUGUCGUCUUGGCAAGCAGAUUCAGUUACCAUAUCCACAUAGUGAGUCAGUGUCUAAGCGUCUUUUUGAUUUAGUCCAUUCCGAUGUAUGGGGUCUGGCUCCCUUCGCUUCGAAAGGGGGUCAUAAAUACUAUAUUAUUUUCAUCGAUGACUUCUCUCGUUACACAUGGCUUUAUUUCAUGACUUCUCGUAGUGAGGUGUUGUCCAUUUAUAAGCGUUUUGCUGCCAUGGUUCAUACUCAGUUCUCUUCUCCCAUUCGUGUGUUUCGUGCUGACUCCGCUGGCGAGUAUAUCUCUAAGAUGUUGCGUGGUGUUCUUGCUGAGCAAGGGACUCUCUCUCAAUUCUCUUGUCCUGGUGCUCAUGCUCAGAAUGGCGUGGCUGAGCGCAAGCAUCGUCAUCUUCUUGAGACGGCUCGUGCAUUGAUGAUUGCUGCCUCUCUCCCGCCUCAUUUUUGGGCUGAGGCCGUCUCCACCUCCACCUAUCUCAUCAAUUUCCAGCCUUCCGCUGCCCUACAGGGUGGUGUUCCUUUCGAGCGUCUUUUUGAUCGGUCUCCCGAUUAUUCGACGCUUCGCUUGUUUGGUUGUGUUUGCUAUGUUCUUCUUGCCCCCCGCGAACGCACCAAACUCACCGCUCAGUCUGUUGAGUGUGUCUUCUUAGGCUAUAGUGAUGAGCAUAAGGGCUAUCGUUGUUGGGAUCCUAUCGGUCGUCGGAUACGUAUCUCUCGGGAUGUGACUUUUGAUGAGUCUCGUCCCUUCUACCCACGCCCAUCUUCCUCGACUUUUUCAGUGGAGGAUAUCUCUUUUCUCACUUUUCCUGACACGCCUAUCACACUUGUCGAGCCUUUGCCUACUCAUUCCGCUCCCUCUGCUUCUCCACCUCCAGUCGAUUUGUCGCCACCAUCUUCCACGGCCUCCUUGUCUAGUAUGUCACCGGAUUCUACACCUUCAUCUCCGGUAACUUCUUCGUCGCCACCCUCCGAUUCUACUUUAGCGAUUCCUCCUUCCAUUGUUCCAUCUUUUCCUCAGUGUUACACUCGACGUUCACGUUCUGUGGAUGCCUCUCUGGAUGUGCCGUCCUCCUCGUCUCAGCCUACUUAUGGCUUGCGUUCUCGUCCUCGUCCGCCUGUUGAUCGCUUAGGAUUUUCCACCGCUGGAGCUGCUGUUCUUGAGCCGACUACUUAUCAUCAGGCUGUUGUUCAUCCUGAAUGGCAGUUUGCGAUGGCUGAGGAGAUUGCUGCUCUUGAACGCACAGGUACGUGGGAUCUUGUUUCCCUUCCUCCUGGAGUCCGUCCCAUCACUUGUAAGUGGGUCUACAAGGUAAAGACUCGCUCCGAUGGUUCUCUUGAGCGUCACAAAGCUCGUCUUGUGGCUCGUGGUUUUCAGCANNNNNNNNNNNNNNNNNNNNNNNNNNNNNNNNNNNNNNNNNNNNNNNNNNNNNNNNNNNNNNNNNNNNNNNNNNNNNNNNNNNNNNNNNNNNNNNNNNNNNNNNNNNNNNNNNNNNNNNNNNNNNNNNNNNNNNNGUCAGCAGGAGCAUGGUCGUGAUUAUGACAAGACUUUUGCUCCUGUGGCUCAUAUGACCACUGUUCGUACACUUCUUGCCGUCGCCUCUACACGCCACUGGUCUAUCUCUCAGCUUGAUGUUAAGAAUGCUUUUCUUAAUGGUGAGCUGCGUGAGGAGGUGUACAUGCAGCCUCCACCUGGGUAUUCUGUUCCUGAUGGCAUGGUAUGCCGUCUUCGUCGCUCUCUCUAUGGCCUUAAGCAAGCCCCCCGAGCCUGGUUUGAGCGUUUUGCAUCUGUGGUGACUGCCGCUGGUUUUUCACCCAGUGUUCAUGAUCCAGCAUUGUUUAUUCACCUUUCUCCUCGUGGUCGGACUCUUCUUCUUCUUUAUGUUGAUGACAUGGUCAUCACUGGGGAUGACCCUGAGUAUAUUGCCUUUGUCAAGGCUCGUCUUAGUGAGCAGUUCCUUAUGUCUGAUCUUGGACCUCUUCGCUACUUUUUUGGGAUUGAAGUCUCAUCUACCUCUGAUGGCUUUUUUAUAUCCCAGGAAAAGUAUAUCCAGGAUCUUCUUGCUCGUGCUGCUCUUACUGAUGAGCGCAUUGUUGAGACUCCUAUGGAGCUCAAUGUUCAUCUCUCUGCUACUGAUGGUGAUCCCCUGCCUGACCCGACGCGCUAUCGUCAUCUUGUUGGCAGUCUUGUUUAUCUAGCUGUCACUCGUCCGGUUAUUUCUUAUCCGGUUCAUAUUCUGAGUCAGUUUGUCUCUACUCCCACAUCGGUUCACUAUAGUCAUCUCCUCCGUGUUCUCCGAUAUCUUCGGGGCACAAUCUCUCACCGUCUAUUCUUUCCUCGCUCCAGUUCUUUACAGCUACAGGCCUAUUCGGAUGCUACGUGGGCUAGUGAUCCUUCAGAUCGCCGUUCACUUUCUGCUUACUGUGUUUUUCUUGGUGGUUCUCUCAUUGCCUGGAAGACAAAGAAACAGAUUGCAGUUCCCGUUCGAGUGCAGAGGCUGAGUUGCGAGCGAUGGCUCUUUUGACGGCAGAGGUGACUUGGUUACGGUGGUUACUUCAGGAUUUUGGUGUUUCUGUCACUACACCGACUCUGCUCUUAUCUGAUAGUACAGGUGCUAUUAGCAUUGCGCGAGAUCCUGUGAAGCAUGAGCUCACCAAGCAUAUUGGUGUUGAUGCUUUCUAUGUGCGCGCUGCUGUGCAGGAUCAGGUUGUUGCUCUUCAGUAUGUGCGUUCUGAGUUACAGUUGGCGGAUUUCCUGACGAAGGCCCAGACUAGAGCACAACAUAGCUUUUAUCUCUCCAAACUCAGUGUUGUUCAUCCACCAUGAGUUUGAGGGGGGGUGUUAGAGUUAUAAUACAAGUCAUGUUCCCUUUUAUAUUUAUCCCAAUAUAUAAGGGGUUUUCCUGCAUAUAGUCCAUCACCUGUACAUGUAUAUAUAUCGGCCUAUGGCCUCAUGGUAAUACAAGUUGCUUAUUCCUAACA